CCCUUAGAUGUUCUGGGCCGCACGCGCGCUACACUGACGAAUGCAACGAGCUUAUAACCUUGGCCGAAAGGUCUGGGUAAUCUCCAAAUUUCGUCGUGAUGGGGAUAGAUUAUUGCAAUUAUUAAUCUUCAACGAGGAAUGCCUAGUAAGCGCAAGUCAUCAGCUUGCGUUGAUUACGUCCCUGCCCUUUGUACACACCGCCCGUCGCUCCUACCGAUUGAAUGGUCCGGUGAAGCGUUCGGACCGUGGCCUUUGGACGGUUCGCCGUCUGUUGGCUGCGGGAAGUUCGUUAAACCUUAUCAUAUAGAGGAAGGAGAAGUCGUAACA
rnacentral:rRNA from 1 species